UCCAUUUGGUGGAAAGAGUACAGUACUGUGGUACUGUGAGACAGGUCUACUGUACCACAAUGAUCGGAGGACUGUCUGCUUUGAUUCUUCUUAGUACAACAUCCUUGCUUCAUACUGCAGAGGUUCCUCAUCUGAUCUCUUUGACUACACUUGAACUUGGUGGCAAUGCCACUUUUCACUGUCCGUUCUCUGAGAAGACAGACAGAUUCUUCCACUGGUAUAAGCAGUCUCUUGGGAAAAUGGUCCAAACAGUAGCUACAGUAGUUUAUAACAAGAUAGAGUUCAUCAGUCCAUUUAAUCAUACCCGUUUCCAUGUCCAUAAAUCAAAUGAUCAGUGUUUUCUUACUAUCAAUCACAUAAACAAAGAGGAUGAAGCAACAUACUUUUGUCAAACUGGAACCGAGUUUUUACAGCAUUUCGUUAGAGGAUUCUUCUUGGCUGUAAAUGAUUAUAAUCACCAGACAUCUGUCUAUGUGACGCAAACUCCAAAGUCAUCAUCAGUCCAACUUGGAAACACAGUCACCCUCCAGUGUUCAUUAUUCGCCAAGAACAAAGAAAGCAGUGUUCAGUGUCCCAGUGAUCACAGUGUGCACUGGUUCAAAAGUGGAUCAGGAGAAAACCAUCCAAGUAUCAUUUACAGAAAUUUCACUCAUAGAAACAGCAUGGAUGAUACAGAGAGACGCUGCAUCUACCAUCUGUCCAAAACAAUACAGAACUCCUCUGAUACUGGGACUUACUACUGUGCUGUCGUCACAUGUGGAGCGAUACUGUUUGGUGAAGGAUCUAAAGUGGACACAAAUGACUCAGUGGAAAUUAACUGUUAUUACACCAGGCAAGAGCUUUCCACUCUUCUUUUGUCCAAUUUUGGUAAGCCCAUUCAAGCUGUAGCCUCAGAUUCCUGUUUUUAGCUGACAAAGAAUGGUCUUCUGCUGCUGUAGCCCAUCUGCUAUAAUGUUCAACAUGUUGCAUUCACAGAUGCUAUUCUGCAUACCUUGGCUAUAAUCUGAGUUAUUGAGGAGUGUGGCCAUUCUCCUUUGACCUCAAUAUCAACAAGGAAUCUUCACCUAAAGAACUGAUGCUAACUGGAUUUUUUUUCUUCUAGAUUCACUUUUCAUUUUUCUAUAAAUCCUAGAUGGCUGCGUGACGAAAAUCCCAGUAGAUCAGCAAUUUGAAAAUUAUUCCCAACUUCCUGUCUGACACUAUGACGCUAUGUUCAGAGACGCUUAAAUAAUAUUUCAUGUCACUUUGAAAUUCAGCAGAUUCUCUUUAUCAUAUCUACAUGCCUACAGCUGUGGUCAAAAGGUUACAUACACGCAUGAUGAGCAUGAAUGAUGGUAAUUUGGGAAUGAAUUCUGUGAACUGUUCUUUUUCAUGGGUGAAAUGACUUUGCACCGUAAAUCUUUACCAAGAUGCACAAGCUUAAUUUCCUCUAAUCCUCACAGGAUCAAAAGUAUAUAUACAGGCACAAAGUAUACAUGUACCCUCAUUAAUAUUUGGUUAAAUGUUUCUUAAAAACUUGACCAGACACCUUUGGUAGCUAUCAGGAUGCAUUAUGGCAGAAUUCAGGGUGGAUAUUUGACCACUUUUAUUGGCAAAAUUGGUUGGUUUCAUGGCCUGGCUUUUAAGCACUGUCUACAAAUUUUCAGUAGGAUUGAGGUCAGAGCUUUUGGAGGGCCAUUGCAGAAGCUUAAUGAAAUGUUAUUCAUCUGUGUCACCACACUGUCAGGCUCUGGAAGAAGACCUAAACUGUCACCUCCAGUUAAGCAAACGUACAGAAAUUCAUCAAAUAUUAUUAUGCUCAGCUUUCUGCCAAAAAAUGUGUUUUGUCUGUCAACAAAGGUAAGAUUCUGAGGAAGGAAACAAAAAGUUAAGCAAUUUAGCAUCACCAGUAAAUGAUGAUGCUGUUAACUGUUUGCCAAAAACUGCCAAAAUAUAACAUUUGUUUGAGUGUAGUAAACAUUUCUUUUCUUCCAGGAACAGAACUGGACCCAGUUAUUCUUAUUCUUGGAGGACUGUUGGUCUGCUGUGUGACUGUAAUCAUCGUCCUCAUUUCCUGCAUGACUUGUUGUCAUUUCAAAGGAGCAACAAGUGUUUCCCAUCGUCUGGGACAUAACAAGUCAGU